rnacentral:rRNA from 1 species
UCGAGAAUCUUCCGCAAUGGACGAAAGUCUGACGGAGCGACGCCGCGUGUGGGAUGAAGGCCUUCGGGUUGUAAACCACUGUCGGGGGGAGCAAAUUUGAGCGAUCCCCGGAGGAAGCACAGGCUAAAUUCGUGCCAGCAGCCGCGGUAAUACGAAUUGUGCGAACGUUAUUCGGAAUCACUGGGCUUAAAGGGUGCGUAGGCGGCCAUGAAGGUCUGAUGUGAAAUCCCACGGCUCAACCGUGGAAUUGCGUUGGAAACCACAUGGCUUGAGUAGGACAGAGGUGAGCGGAACUGAUGGUGGAGCGGUGAAAUGCGUUGAUAUCAUCAGGAACACCGGUGGCGAAAGCGGCUCACUGGGUCCUAACUGACGCUGAGGCACGAAAGCCAGGGGAGCAAACGGGAUUAGAUACCCGGGUAGUCCCUGAGCGGGCUGGCAAGGCGCAU